CCUACGGGGGGCAGCAGUGGGGGAUAUUGCACAAUGGGGGAAACCCUGAUGCAGCGACGCCGCGUGUGGGAAGACGGUCUUCUGGAUUGUAAACCACUGUCCCCAGGGACGAAAAUGACGGUACCUGGGGAGGAAGCUCCGGCUAACUACGUGCCAGCAGCCGCGGUAAUACGUAGGGAGCAAGCGUUGUCCGGAAUUACUGGGUGUAAAGGGAGCGUAGGCGGGGAUGCAAGUUGGGUGUCAAAACUACCGGCUCAACCGAUAGUCACACUCAAAACUGCAGCUAUUGAGUGAAGUAGGGGCAGGCGGAAUUCCUAGUGUAGCGGUGAAAUGCGUAGAUAUUAGGAGGAACACCAGUGGCGAAGGCGGCCUGCUGGGCUUUUACUGACGCUGAGGCUCGAAAGUGUGGGGAGCAAACAGGAUUAGAUACCCCUGUAGUC
rnacentral:rRNA from 1 species